rnacentral:rRNA from 1 species
UACGGGGGGGGGCAAGCGUUGUUCGGAAUUACUGGGCGUGAAGGGUUCGUAGGUGGCCUGCUAAGUCAGACGUGAAAUCCCUCAGCUUAACUGGGGAACUGCGUCUGAUACUGGAAGGCUUGAGUGCAGGAGAGGAACGCGGAAUUCCAGGUGUAGCGGUGAAAUGCGUAGAUAUCUGGAGGAACACCGGUGGCGAAGGCGGCGUUCUGGUCCAGCACCGACGUUCAGGCACGGAAAGCGUGGGGAGCAAACAGGG